GAGGAGGUGGCUGAGUGGUUAAGGUCAUGGACUGCUAAUUAAUUCUGUUCUGCACGUGUGGGUUUGAAUCCCUUCCUUGUUG
rnacentral:tRNA from 1 species